CCAUGAUGCAUUGCACCGCUGCUAGAGCUGCAGUAAUCAGGACAGCGUGUGUAGCUUCCCUUUCUCAGCGGCAAGCCGAAAAAGUAUACCUGCCGCCCGCCCUAGCUAUGAAUGUGUUGAUGCUGCUGACCUUUCUCUGGCCCCACACAGAACUGCAGUGCAUUCAGCGCUGAGUCGCUGACAGCACAGUGAUGGAUGUAAGCAGGACGCAGCCUUCACCUCCAAUAGGUUGAAACAGGCGGCACUCAGGCAGACUCAUGAGAGAUGAAGAAAAGCGGUCCGUUUAUUAUACCGACAUGUUUCGGGGAAUACCCCGUCCUCAGGGCCAUGAAACCUUCGGCAACGAUCGGUAUUUUUUCUCUUAAAUAUAAAAUACAGUUGCCAGGGAGACACGAGAUGGAGAAAUAAAAAUAUAAAUUGUCCAUCACAUCAGCACUUGAACACCCUUGGUGGUUAAAACUCUAUUGAAGCCCGCCACCACUUUGAAUCCUGAAUCAAGUCGUUAAUGAACUAUUUUACGCUAAGGGACACUGGAUUUUAACUCUUUGAAUUCUGGACUUUUUAGUGGACAAUCAUACUUUAAGAUAAUCCAUGAGGUGAAUUUUAUCCGAUACCGUUCUGAUAAUGUGUCUACUUAUUGAAGAUUUAUUAUGCUGAUUAUCUGUAUUGAAGUCUCUUGAUUGUAAAGCCCCUGAUGAAGGCCGCUGGACGAAAUGCGUUGGGUUUUUGAGACAACAAUUGCGUUCUUCAAUUGAAGAGUCACUGCUAUACGAUUAGAAUGGAACAUUGUUUUCAAUCAUCUCAUGUAUAAAGUAUCAUUGAAUGUAA